rnacentral:rRNA from 1 species
UACGUAGGUGGCAAGCGUUGUCCGGAUUUACUGGGUGUAAAGGGCGUGUAGGCGGGCCGGCAAGUCAGAUGUGAAAUACCGAGGCUUAACCUCGGAACUGCAUUUGAAACUGCCGAUCUUGAGUGCCGGAGAGGAAAGCGGAAUUCCUAGUGUAGCGGUGAAAUGCGUAGAUAUUAGGAGGAACACCAGUGGCGAAGGCGGCUUUCUGGACGGUAACUGACGCUGAGGCGCGAAAGUGUGGGGAGCAA